CAGUUCACUGUAUUCCUUUACAAAUGAAAUUUCCAGGACUUUGCUUUAUGGAACUAAUCUAUCCCAGAUGGCUAUCAAAUAUGUAUCUUCAUGUACAGGCACUUUGUUUUUGGUAUGAAGAAGGUUCCACCUUCUGGCACUGAAACCUUUGUAUUACAGACACAGGUUUAGUUUCUAGUUACACUAGUAGAGUUUAGCAGUACAGGUCUGAGUAGCCAACCAUGGUAGAAGGUAAAGACUUACUCUGUAGACAGGUAGCUCAAAUCUAAACUAGGGAAAUGAAGGUAGGUUUUGGAAAAGAAAGCAGAAACAGAUGAGAAACUGUGGGAUCUUGUUAUUUCCCCAAGUAACUCGUGAUCACGAUAUAUGUGAACCAUUUAUGUCAAGAUGUCCUUUAGACUAUCAUAUUUCAAUUUAUACCUUUAUUGAUGAAUGCAUACAUUAACCAGGUCCAUUUAUGUUUUUAUUAUUGGGGAUCAUACCCAGAACUCACAUUUGCUAGGCAUGGGUCCUGUCAUUGAUCUAUGUUCAAAUCUUGAUCUGGUGACCAGAUAAAUGUGUAACCAUGUCACAUAUGUGACCUGGAGUGGAAAUGAGUGCCCAGAGGAGAGCAUGCAUUGUUGGAGCUGUGGAAAGAUUGUCUGUGAACGCUCAAAACUGUAAUACAAAAGAGGGCUGUAUGCAAGUAUGUGAGUAGUGUUUUUUUUUUUUAAGUUGUUACAUGAAUGUGUGUGUGUGGCUGGAAGGAGAGGAUGGGUAGAAAAUAAGAAAGAAGGCACAGUGAAAAGAGGCAAGGAGAGGUUCUGGGGAAGAUAUGGGGUGAGGCAAGUCAAACGUGGUAGAGACAGGGUUGGCUGGAGGCCAUGAAGUCAACGCUGAUGCAUGCCAAGAGAUCUGAGAGAGGUUAGAAAAAGUGACUUGGGAAGAAUGGAGGGUAGGUAAAGGAGAAAUGCUGGGUGAAGGAGCCUGUCUUUAGUAAAUCGAUGUCAGGUACACCGUAGGUAAUGCAAGGGAUUUUUGUAGAGUUGAAGAAGGACAUGGUCUUCAUGGAUAUAGAAACAUGUGGCCACCAGAACCAUUAGGGAGUCACCUAUUCAUCUCAGGAAGUGGGUACAGAAGGCAUUUCGCUCUCCUGUGGGUUCUAGACCACAUGUAGGGUUGGUGACAAUGCUGUCUGCGCACUGGCCUUUGGUGUUCCAUGUGCUGUUGGGGCAUGAAGGUGUAUGAGCGUUUGGUAGUUACCAAAUACACUUUCAAUAAUGCUCAUCCUUCCAUGGUCUAAAAUGGCCACAGCAAACAUGGAAACAAUAGGUGUAAGUUAGACAAUACUAAGUUUCAUCUGAUCUUUGACAGAGGGGUGUGCCAUAUUGGAAACAUGUUUUCCACACAGGCACCCCACAAGAACAGUGUGAUGUGGGCGUAGACCAUGUGUUUUAAGUAAAGAGGAAAUCAGGGGGCGUGUCAGGAUGAAGGGAAUGUGGGAAGAUGUUCCGAAGACAUGCACUAGAAAACAGAACGGUGUCUGUUUUCGUCCAGUACUAAAUGAAAAGAAUUGCAAUACAUUGCUUAUUGCAAUUUUUAUCCUAAGUUGAAUCCAUGAGCCUGGUGCUUGCAGCAUAGUUUUUUUGUUUUGUUUUGAAGCCUAUGUCCUUGGGCACUGUGUGGGGCAAGGCCCUGAUGUUUUGGCAACAUGCAGAUUCUGGUCUCCUGGAAACCUUCAUAUUCUUUCAUAUUCUAGAAACAGAUGAAUGUCAUUGGCACUUGGUGAAUUAAUUAGAAUCCUGAGCUAAGAGGGAAGGAAGCUGGGUAGUGACGAAGGACUUGAGUAGGCUGGCAGGAAAGGACUGGGGAGGGACCAUUUAGUUGUCCCGUGUUUUUCAGAAAUUUCUCAUUUUGCAAUGAUCUGAGACUUGAAAGAAGUUACAAAAGAAUCAGCACCUUACCUUGGUUCUGUUUUCCACACACUGAAAAUAUUUCAGUCUAUUUUCAUCUAUUUGGACCAUUUUCAAAACUAAACCCUAGGCCCGGCUUGGCUUUCACCAGUUUUCCUACAUUGUAUUCAGUUGCUCACUGGAUACUUUUAGCCUUUGUUGGUUUGUAAUCUGGCUUUGGUGGCAUACAGGAUAAAGGAUUCUACCUAGAUAUUACUCUACAAAUGAGAGAAAACAUCAAACUGACAAGCUCUUUUAUCAGGGACCAGUACUCCAGCUGUUUGCUGAACCCACUUUCGAUUACAGCUCAUCAUUGCUGGACCCAGAACGGCCACAGCGUUACACGGGAGUCAUAUGUAAUGAUCAGCUCUGCUGUUUGGCCACCCAAACAAUCCAAGGACAACUUAAGAAAAGUAACAAUAUAAAAGGCUUCAAAGUGGAAGGGAAUUGUAAACAGAAGAACGGGACUUUUGUUGGUGACCAGAGGGGUCUAUGAUAAAGCGGUACUUUGGUCAAGAAUUAAGUGGUACUGAAUGGAGGUAGGGAUAGUUUGUGGCUAGACUAUGGCACAAAUAUAAACCCCUAAUGUGAGGUUAAAACACUGUCUUUGGAGGACCAGAGGAGCUUCAUUCGCCUAACUGUUCAUCCUUAAUUGUAAUAUCAGCUGCUAAGCUAAAUGCAAACACAUCAGCUCCCUGGGGAAAAGUUGAAACUCUCGUUUCUUGGACCAUUACUUUGGGUUUCCUGCUAGACAUUUUUAAGCUGCCUUGCUUAAGGGCUACAGGAUAACAACUGUCUGUGGCUUAUGAGAUUCCUAGCACACAAAUGAGUAGUUUGUGUAUGUUAUAUUUUUAAUGAAUAAAGAGUGGAAAAAUU
rnacentral:lncRNA from 1 species